rnacentral:lncRNA from 1 species
GUGGGUUUCAGUGAGAUUCCAGGCGUGGGCAGUGGAGUUGAGCCAGUGGGGUGUGGUGCAAGGGCAGGACCGGAGACCUGUGUUCUGUCUCUUACUUGAUCUAUAUUUCCUUCGUUGAUGGAGGAACAGGGCCCCGGCCAGGGUGAAAACAAGGAACAUUCCAGAGAAGAUCACAAGGAUGCGAAUAAAAUCGGAGCUGCACAGGGAUCUUUGGGCUGUAAUAGGAGGGGACACACAGGGGUUAGGGGAGGGUCUAGCCCUUGGCUCCCUCAGCCCAGCCCUCCUGUCACCUUGCCUCUCCCCUUCCCCCACCUUAUUCUAUCCCACCCGCCACCGUUGGCCAACUCCUCUCCUAAACAGUGGACUCUGCUUUUUCCCCUCCUCUUAUCCCUAAUCCUAGGAGCUUUCUGUCUGGCUUCCCUCCUGGCCCCUCAUGUAUGCAUUCUCUCUAGCGGUGGGGAUUAAGGAGAAAACUCACGUGGCCAGUGGGUAGAGAGAGUCCGGGCAGGCAGCUGCCUGAAGUCAGCCAGAGUCUGCAUGUGCCCAGCUGUCCUGGCCUCCAGCAUCUCUGGAAAAACAGAGACAGAAUGAGUAGCAGCAGGGAACCCCAUAGGGCACAUCUGAAGGCCUGAGAGGUGCUGGAUGGGAUGGGAAGGCAGAAACAGGCUGACCUUAUCUAGUGGUAGGAGUGGGGAGUACUGGUUGGGGUAUCACCGCUACCCCACGUGAUGGCACAGAGAGUUGCCUAGAACUUACCACUGACAUAAGGACAAGGAGAGGGACAAAUUCCUUCUUGGCAUCCUUAUGGCCCUGUGACCUGCUAAUGAAUGCUGACCCUGAGUUGCUACUAGAAUUUGGUUUCCUUGUGGCUUCCCAGGAAUUGUGAGCCAUGUUGGAUAAGGACCUGCAAGGGAAGAAUGAGGAAGCCUGGGACAGUGCAGGAGGGGAGAGCACUGGUGGUAGGCAGGAG